GAUGAACGCUGGCGGCGUGCUUAACACAUGCAAGUCGAACGAGAGAUACAGGAGGAAGUUUUCGGAUGGAAUCCGGUAGAUCGAGUGGCGGACGGGUGAGUAACGCGUGGGGAACCUGCCUCAUACAGGGGGAUAACAGUUGGAAACGACUGUUAAUACCGCAUAAGACCACAGAGUCGCAUGACUCAGGGGUAAAAACUCCGGUGGUAUGAGAUGGACCCGCGUUCGAUUAGCCAGUUGGCGGGGUAACGGCCCACCAAAGCGACGAUCGAUAGCCGAUUUGAGAGAAUGACCGGCCACAUUGGGACUGAGACACGGCCCAA
rnacentral:rRNA from 1 species